GUCCUCCACAAGUUUAACUUGACUAAUUAUUAACGAACUAGAAACAUGACAUGGUCCAAUGGAUGGACCCAACUAAACUAGCAUUACUCCAUGGUGAGAUUUCAUUCCUGAAACUAUGCGUGUGUUAAAGAAUAUAAAAAAUGAAAGGUAACCCUUUUUUAAGAAAUAUGAUAGGAAGGACACCUUGAUAUAGGAUUUUUUUAGGAGAGCAGGAGAAGACCCACAUGUAUUAU
rnacentral:lncRNA from 1 species